CACGGGGGGUGCAAGCGUUAUUCGGAAUCACUGGGCGUAAAGAGCGCGUAGGCGGUCUCUUAAGUCAGAUGUGAAAGCCCGGGGCUCAACCCCGGAAGUGCAUUUGAAACGAAGGGACUUGAGUAUGGGAGAGGGAAGUGGAAUUCCUGGUGUAGCGGUGAAAUGCGUAGAUAUCAGGAGGAACACCGGUGGCGAUAGCGACUUCCUGGACCAAUACUGACGCUGAGGCGCGAAGGCGUGGGGAGCAAACAGG
rnacentral:rRNA from 1 species